rnacentral:lncRNA from 1 species
AUGGCCAAGAUCAAGGCCUGAGACCCUCGAGGGAAGAAGAGGAACUGCUGAAACAGCUGGACAACCUGAAGGUGGAGCUGUCCCAGCUGCGUGUCACUAAAGUGACAGGCGGUGCAGCCUCCAGGCUGUCUAAGAUCCGAGUCGUCCGCAAAUCCAUUGCCUGUGUUCUCAUGGUUAUUAACCAGAGAAAACCUCAGGAAAUUCUACAAGGGCAAGAAGUACCAGCCCGUGGACCUGCAGCCUAAGAAGACAUGCGCCAUGAGCCACUGUCUCAACAAGCACGAGGAGAACCUGAAGGGCAAGAAGCAGCAGUGGAAGGAGUGGCUGUCCCCGCUGA